rnacentral:rRNA from 1 species
AGAUCAAAUUGUUGGUCGUGCCUCGGUACGUACUGGCAUUAUUGAUUUCUCCCUUCUGAAGAACCACGAUGUCAUUAAUUUGGUGUCGUGGGGAAUCAGGACUGUUACUUUGAAAAAAUUAGAGUGUUUAAAGCAGGCAUACGCUUGAAUACAUUAGCAUGGAAUAAUGAAAUAGGACGUUUGAUUCUAUUUUGUUGGUUUCUAGGACCGAAGUAAUGAUUAAUAGGGAUAGUUG